CGGAACUUAUAAGCGGCGGACUGGUGAGUAACGCGUGGGUGACCUACCUUUAGGCUGGGGAUAGCCGUUAGAAAUAGCGGGUAAUACCGAAUAAUGUUGCCGGGCUAUGGUCUGGUAAAGAAAGGCGCUUUGGCGCCGCCUUAAGAUGGGCCCGCGUUCCAUUAGCUAGUUGGUGAGGUAAAGGCCCACCAAGGCAAUGAUGGAUAGCCGGCCUGAGAGGGUGAACGGCACACUGGGACUGAGAUACGGCCAGACUCCUACGGGAGGCAGCAGACUAAGAAUAUUCCGCAAUGGAGUGAAACUCUGACGGAGCGACGCCGCGUGGAUGAGGAAGGCCGAACACGGUAUGUAAAAAUCCUUUUGCGGACGAAGAAUAAGGCCGGUAGUGGAAUGAUCGGAUGAUGACGUUACGUCCGCGAAUAAGACCCGGACUAAUUACGUG
rnacentral:rRNA from 1 species